GAAUGAAGGCAAAUGGUAAUGUGCAUGGAUAUCGAAUUCAAUGGGUCAACAUGUCUGCUUUCUCUGAUGCUUUUCUUGGCUGACUCGUGGCCUGGUUGCUAUUCAUAUCU